CACGGGGGGAGCAAACGUUGUUCGGAAUCACUGGGCGUAAAGGGCGCGUAGGCGGCCCCGUAAGUGGUGUGUGAAAUGCCCUGGCUCAACCAGGGAAUAGCGCUCCAAACUGCAGGGCUUGAGGGCAGUAGAGGAAGCUGGAAUUCCAGGUGUAGCGGUGAAAUGCGUAGAUAUCUGGAGGAACACCGUUGGCGAAGGCGAGCUUCUGGGCUGUCCCUGACGCUGAGGAGCGAAAGCUGGGGGAGCAAACAGG
rnacentral:rRNA from 1 species